rnacentral:ribozyme from 1 species
GAAUAUCCCAGCGGAACCCCCAGCCGCGGCCAAUUUAGCAAACACGCUUGCAGAAAGAGAACUGGCUAUGCCACAAGGGAACGAAAGCAC